AGCGAACGCUGGCGGCAGGCCUAACACAUGCAAGUCGAACGGAUCCUUCGGGAUUAGUGGCGGACGGGUGAGUAACACGUGGGAACGUGCCCUUUGGUUCGGAACAACUCAGGGAAACUUGAGCUAAUACCGGAUGUGCCCUUCGGGGGAAAGAUUUAUCGCCAUUGGAGCGGCCCACGUCUGAUUAGCUAGUUGGUGAGGUAAAGGCUCACCAAGGCGACGAUCAGUAGCUGGUCUGAGAGGAUGAUCAGCCACAUUGGGACUGAGACACGGCCCAAACUCCUACGGGAGGCAGCAGUGGGGAAUCUUGCGCAAUGGGCGAAAGCCUGACGCAGCCAUGCCGCGUGAAUGAUGAAGGUCUUAGGAUUGUAAAAUUCUUUCACCGGGGACGAUAAUGGCGGUACCCGGAGAAGAAGCCCCGGCUAACUUCGUGCCAGCCGCCGCCGUAAGAC
rnacentral:rRNA from 1 species